rnacentral:misc_RNA from 1 species
GUAAUAAGAACUAAUAUAAUAAUUGGAAAUUGAUCAGGUAUGCAUCUUGUUCGUCUUUUCUUCCUUCCCCGGUGUAUUCCUUUGGAGGGGUGCAAUUACAGGCAGCAAGAAGGGACAUAACUUGCAGCUUCAACCAUCUUGUGGAGCUUUUGUUUUUCUUAAUUUUCAGGCUGACAAGUUCAUCUAUAAUUAUCGGCAGCAUGAAU